rnacentral:tRNA from 1 species
GGAGAGGUGACAGAGCGGCCGAAUGUGACGGUCUUGAAAACCGUUGUUGUGCAAGCAACCAGGGGUUCGAAUCCCCUCCUCUCCGCCG